rnacentral:tRNA from 1 species
UGGGUUGUGGCUCAGUGGUGGAGCGCUCGCCUAGCACAUGCGAGACCCUGGGUUUAAUCUUCAGCACCACAC